rnacentral:lncRNA from 1 species
AUGAAUAGAAGAGAGAAGCUUGAAGCGGUUUGAAAAUAAAAAAUAGUAGUAAAAAAUUCAAAAAACCUAAAACCGCUAGGGUUUACACUCCGAACGGCUCCCUACCUCAUUCAUGGCGGACGACGCAGCUCCAGAGGCUCCGAUGGAGGUCGAGCUUACAGCGGAAGUCUCGGAUGUGAAGAUUCUGGCGGAGGAUUCCGAGAACGCCUCGGAUGUGAAGAUUCUGGCGGAGGAUUCCGAGAACGGAGGCGCGAAGCGCUCCAGGGAGGAAGAUGAGUCGGCGGAGCAAAAGGAGAAGAGAACGAAAACCGAGGAUGCGAAGUCCGGGGAGCAAAAGGAGAAGAGAACGAAAACCGAGGAUGCGAAGUCCGGAGAGGAGGAGAAGAGCGCCGGAGAUGGAGAGGGGAAAACCGAAGAGCAGAAGGAUGACGGCGAGACAAUGGCCGAGGAGAAGAUCGCCGGAGAUGGAGAGGAGAAAACCGAAGAGCAGAAGGAUGGCGGCGAGACAAUGGCCGAGGAGAAGGAGUCCGAUAAGGCGGUUGUCGGACCGAAAACCUUCGACACGUCUGUUGAGAUGUAUGAUUACUUCUUCAAGCUUCUUCAUUCCUGGACUCCUAAUCUUAAUCUCAAUAAGGUAAAU